rnacentral:rRNA from 1 species
CAUGUAUCUGCAUAUCUUUGGAACAUUGAUAGCCUUCGAGGGUGAUACACAGGUACUGCAUGGCCGUCGUCAGCUCGUGUCGUGAGAUGUAGGGUUAAGUCCCGAAACGGGCGCAACCCCUAUCCCAUGUUACAAGUGUCUUGGGAAACUGCCUCGGUAAAACGGGGAGGAAGGUGGGGAUGACGUCUGGUCCGCAUAGUCCUUAUGUCCUGGGCUACACACGCGCUACAAUGGUCGGUACAAUGGGCAGCCAAGCCGCAAGGCGGAGCUAAUCCUUUAAAACCGAUCUCAGUUCGGAUUGUGGGCUGAAACUCGCCCACAUGAAGUUGGAUUUGCUAGUAAUCGUGGAUCAGCCAUGCCACGGUGAAUACGUUCUCGGGUCUU